rnacentral:rRNA from 1 species
AUUGAACGCUGGCGGCAUGCCUUACACAUGCAAGUCGAACGGCAGCGGGCCUUCGGGUGCCGGCAAGUGGCGAACGGGUGAGUAAUGCAUCGGAACGUGCCAUUGAGUGGGGGAUAACGUAGCGAAAGUUACGCUAAUACCGCAUAUUCUGUGAGCAGGAAAGCAGGGGACCGCAAGGCCUUGCGCUCUUUGAGCGGCCGAUGUCAGAUUAGCUAGUUGGUGAGGUAAAGGCUUACCAAGGCGACGAUCUGUAGCGGGUCUGAGAGGAUGAUCCGCCACACUGGAACUGAGACACGGUCCAGACUCCUACGGGAGGCAGCAGUGGGGAAUUUUGGACAAUGGGCGCAAGCCUGAUCCAGCCAUGCCGCGUGAGUGAAGAAGGCC